rnacentral:rRNA from 1 species
CUGCGUGAGCGGAACGAAAACAAAAACACCUAAAAUGUGGAAUAUAGCAUAUAGUCGACAAGAGAAAUCUACGAAAAACAAACAAAACUUUCAACAACGGAUCUCUUGGUUCUCGCAUCGAUGAAGAGCGCAGCGAAAUGCGAUACCUAGUGUGAAUUGCAGCCAUCGUGAAUCAUCGAGUUCUUGAACGCACAUUGCGCCCCUCGGCAUUCCGGGGGGCAUGCCUGUUUGAGCGUCGUUUCCAUCUUGCGCGUGCGCAGAGUUGGGGGAGCGGAGCGGACGACGUGUAAAGAGCGUCGGAGCUGCGACUCGCCUGAAAGGGAGCGAAGCUGGCCGAGCGAACUAGACUUUUUUUCAGGGACGCUUGGCGGCCGAGAGCGAGUGUUGCGAGACAACAAAAAGCUCGACCUCAAAUCAGGUAGGAAUACCCGCUGAACUUAAGCAUAUCAAUAAGCGGAG